UCAGGCCUAACAUAUGCAAGUAGAACGGCAGUACGGACUUCGGUCUGGUGGCGAGUAGAGAACGGGUGAGUAAUACAUCGGAACGUGCCCAGUCGUGGGGGAUAACGUAGCGAAAGCUACGCUAAUACCGCAUACGAUCUAAGGAUGAAAGCGGGGGAUCGCAAGACCUCGCGCGAUUGGAGCGGCCGAUGGCAGAUUAGGUAGUUGGUGGGGUAAAGGCUCACCAAGCCGACGAUCUGUAGCUGGUCUGAGAGGACGACCAGCCACACUGGGACUGAGACACGGCCCAGACUCCUACGGGAGGCAGCAGUGGGGAAUUUUGGACAAUGGGCGCAAGCCUGAUCCAUCCAAGGCGCGUGCAGGAUGAAGGCCCUCGGGUGUAAACUUAUAGGGACGGAACGAAAAGGCUCUGGUUAAUACCCGGGCUC
rnacentral:rRNA from 1 species